CCUACGGGCGGCAGCAGUGAGGAAUAUUGGUCAAUGGACGAGAGUCUGAACCAGCCAAGUAGCGUGAAGGAUGACUGCCCUAUGGGUUGUAAACUUCUUUUAUAUGGGAAUAAAAUGUUCCACGUGUGGGAUUUUGUAUGUACAAUAUGAAUAAGGAUCGGCUAACUCCGUGCCAGCAGCCGCGGUAAUACGGAGGAUCCGAGCGUUAUCCGGAUUUAUUGGGUUUAAAGGGAGCGUAGGUGGAUUGUUAAGUCAGUUGUGAAAGUUUGCGGCUCAACCGUAAAAUUGCAGUUGAAACUGGCAGUCUUGAGUACAGUAGAGGUGGGCGGAAUUCGUGGUGUAGCGGUGAAAUGCUUAGAUAUCACGAAGAACUCCGAUUGCGAAGGCAGUUCACUGGACUGCAACUGACACUGAGGCUCGAAAGUGUGGGUAUCAAACAGGAUUAGAUACCCCAGUAGUC
rnacentral:rRNA from 1 species